UUCCUCCCGCUGGCCCUACCUGCCCUGGGAACGGGCGCACAGGUAGAACUGGUCCAGUUGUUCUCCUCUGGGAUGGGAGACCCCGCGGGGGAUUGAAUGCUCCUGAGCUCUGUGGGCUUGCAGGUUCCUCACCAAGACAAGCAUCAGGGAGAGGGCUUUGGGUCUGCGCCGACGCACGAUAUUUUCUGUUGGAAUCUUCAUUACUGUUUUGAUGCCCGAAGUCAUCAAUAAAAGCAGGAAGCCAAGCAGCGCCGGGCUCUGAAGAUCUUCCAAAGACCUCUUUUCAACCUCAGUUACUGCAAGCUUCUCACCUUAAAACCAGCUGGUCCAGAGAUUCUAUCCUUCUCCUUCCCAGUGUAGAUGACAAAAGCUGGCUUCCCCUGGUAGGGAAGGAGAGUGCUGCAUCCCAUCUAAAUGCCUUCAGCGGAGCAGGUUUCCUUCUGCUAGCCAACGAAAUGCAUACCAAUCACUCCUUGGUUUCUUUUCUGUUAUUGUUUUUUUUUUGCAAUCACACCUAAUUCUAAAUACUUGAAAAUCUGGCCAUGAAAGCUUUGGGUGGGAAAAAAAAAAGCUCCACACGUAUAUAAAUACUUUUUUUUUCUUAUUUAAAAACGUAAUUAUACAGACACAGCGGGACAGAAUUUACAGUAUAAUUAUGCAAACAGGAGUCACCGAGGCCAGCGUCUGCUCCUCAGUCGAGACAGGCAACAUCUCCGCCUGCAGUAACCCUAUUAGCAGCAGCUGUUGAAUAAUACAAGUUCCCUAUAUUUGCUUUAGGGUGCAAUUCACCCAUCUGCAGAGGGUCAGCACCAGAGCUGUGUUCUAGUGAAGUCUUAUUUAAUACCUGUAAGCAAGGCAUAAGUGAUGCAUGGCCUUGCACGGCUGCUCUAUGUGGGGGUCUCUUUACGUGCCUUCUCCCUGCUCGAUACCAAAUGGAAAAUCAUCUCCUGCAUUUCGCUCUGUUUUCUCUUGCUGCAUCUUCAGAAAGGCAGCUCACACUUGGGUGCUGCCAACCAACUUUGUGCACUAAAAAAAAAAACACCCAACGCAUGUAAAUCUACAUGCAUCAUUUUGGAUGGAACCAUCACCGCACUGCACUGCAGGAAUGGGGAGUGGCGAAGGGGGAAAUGAGGAAAGAAUGGGAAAAUACGAGGUGGAUAAAACCACAACUGAAAGACAAGGGCAGUUUUGAACGCUGGACCUUGCAGCUUCUGAGUUUUCUGCUCUCACAACAAGAAAUCAGAAUGCUCAACAGAGGGAAAUCGCUGCUUCCAGCAGAAAACAGCCUCAUGGCAAUGUGUUGACCACCAGCCGUGCUGGUAAGGAACUAACUCUUAUGAUGGGAGAUGAGAUGUAGGCUGUGCAGGUUUGGUGCAUAUGGCCAAAUUUAACCUGGCUGCUCCUCCAACCCCUCUGCUUUGCUCUGUCGUAGCAAAAGGCGUUUUGAGCGCAUUCUCCUUCCUGCAGCUUGCCAGCAGAUGGCACGUACACACCGCGAGAGGUGGGAGGAAGCAAAGGGUCAGCAGAGGUAGGCCCUGAGCCUGGAAGUGAGCUGAGAUCCCCUGGAAGGCCCCUUGGUCACCUUGUCCAAGGGAGGAGGUGAUGCUGGAGCUAUGCUUCCCAUGGGGUUGUGUCUGUUCCAAGUGACCUCCAAUUGAAACGGGAACAUUUCUGUGUUCAGGUGGAUGAUGAGGUAGGCCAUCAGACUGGACAUGCUGAAAAAGCAAUGUUUUCUCUCCAACCCUUUGUGUGAGUCUGAAUACCAAGCGUGGCUGAGCCAGUUCUAUGGGAACCACUCACCCCUCUGCUUGUGGAUAGCUUGAAUUGGUUGAUGCUGACGCCGUGCUGAGCUUCCAGUGAGGGGAGAUGCUGCGAGUGAGACCUGGGCACAAGGCAGGACAAGGACAGUGUCACACCUCUGCCACUGCCCCUCAGCCCCCAGCAUCCUCUAUGAGUUUGACACCAAGAGGUGACAGCGUGGGGAGCAGUGGGGAUGGCACAUCCAUCUGCUGGACAGCCAGAAAAGGUCACAACAUCCAGCAGUUACCAACCUGCCUCAUCUCACCGCUGCCUACUGCUUCUCAGGUCCUGUCUUAUGCUAACUGACUGCAAUCUCCAGCGUUUUGGAGAUGGUUAAUUACUUUCCUCAGCGCCGUUUGUGUUGAUUACAUUUUUGUUUCGUGACGUGAGCAGGAGAGUGCCUCCUGCGGGGCUGGCAGCGCUCCCAGCACAGCUCCCACCACCCCUCCGUGUGAUGGAAAUGCUCAUGCCGUCCCAGAACAAUGCAGGCUCCUUCCCAAGUAUCUCCUAUUUCCCUGCUGCAGGUGCUGACGGGGAGCUGAUGCUCACUCCUGCUAUUUCUGGAUGACCCCAAGGCCAUUUUGCCUUUAUUCCAGCACUGGGGAAGGCUCAGCAAAUUGUGUCACCCACUGCAGUGCUGCUGUCUUCUCCAGCUCCCUGAGCACCAAGCAGGACCACUGAGUCCAACUCUUGGCCCACCCCAAACUCUUCUCUGACCCCACACCUGCUGCCAGACCCAUCCAAGGAUUCAAAGGGCAAGCUGAAAAAGAGCUCAAGUCUCUCCUGCAUCUCAUGGCACCUGGGCACGGCAGGUGUCACCUGGUGGGAGAUGUCCUGCCUUGAAUCAGGGAUAAAAGCUGAAAACUCCUCUUCAAACAAAUAUGUUUGAGUCAUUCUCCCUCCCCCCCUUCCCCCCCCCCCCCCCCCCCCCCCCCCCCCCCCCGACCUGCGAGCCUGGUUUUUAUGUACCGUGGUAAAUGCUAUGCCUUGAAAAGACCCACACAUGAAUAAAAAAUCAGGCUGUCACUCUGCCGUGCUCCUUUUAAAGAGAAAUUGCUUAAAGCAGCAAGAAGGAUGUCUAAUCUUGGGAAUCUGGAGCCAGUGUUUGCGAAGCGGGGGAGGUGGGGGUCACUGCAGUUUAUGCUCAUGAAUAAUGCAUCUGACAUUGUAGCCAUGCAAAUGGAACCUAACAAACUCCAACCUAAAUAAAAAUCUUGGUUGUUAUGUCAGGGUUUUUGUGUUGUUGUUGUUUUUUUUUCUUUUGCCUGGCCUCUCCUCCCAGCUCUCCCUUGGAUUUUGGGCACAAACGUUGGGCAACUGAAGAGGUGGGAGUGGGCGAUCAGUGGGGAGUAUGGAGCGCCCUUACAAAUCAUGGCAUGGAAUCACAGACUCAUAGAACGGCUUGGGUUGGAAGGGACUUGAAAGAUCAUCAAGAUCCUGGAGCUUGGAGCCAUCCUAUAAGUAGAAGACAGGACGUAUACAGCACAGGGCUCUGCUCCUAGGUGGGAUUUCUUUCUUCUUCUACAGGGUGAUGAGGGACUGCUGCCCAGAGGAGCUGUGGGUGCCCCAUCCCUGGAGGUGCCCAAGGCCAUGGGUGGGAUUCUGGGCAUCCUGAGCUGGUGGGGGGCACCCAGAUCACAGCAGGCAUGGAACCGGAUGAUCUUCCAGGUCCUUUCCAACACAAGCCAUAGUAGGAUUCCAUGACUUCUAUGGGAAUGACUGAGAAAUAGUCAGCAUUAGGAACCUUACUCUGUGAAUGGGCUGUUCUAGAGCAAACUAUUCCAUUUUAAUGGAAUUAUUCCAUUUAGAGCAAACUGCUCCAUUUUAUGGCCCUGUUAACAGCCAGAAGUGAAGUGGGACUGUCGGAUUUGGGAUAGUUGGUUUAACCCCUCUCCAUCCUUCAGUCUGCUCAUCCCAUGCUCAGUGCUGAGGCUGGUGGGUGGCUUUUGGGUGAAGCACAGGGAUAGAGGAGUAGAAGUGCCAUGAUGGGAUGCCAUGGGAGGUAUUUUUAGUGCCUGAGAAAUAUUAUGAUAAAGCAGUGGAUACCUUUCAAUCAUUUUACAAACCUGUAUUGACUGGAAGCACUCCAAAGCCAAUGGAAAAAUAGAAGAUGCUUAAUUCAGAGACUGAGCCGGGGUGAGUGCAGCCCCUUUCCAAUCACUGGAUCUUUCUCCUUGCCUUCAACAAACUCACAAAUGGAUUGCCCAAAGGGAUACAAAGCCAAAAGCUGCAGACCUUAUUUCUCUGCUGAGCUAACCUUUACAGCUCUGAUGAACAAUAUUUUACACAGCUAUUGCUUGAACAGAAGUCACUGCAUUGUUUUUUAUACCUCUGUCUCCUGUCAGGAAGGAGCUAGAGUAAAUUCUCCUUGGACAGCUCACGAAAUCCUGACCCGAGUGCUGAUCAUUGCUGUGUUUUCUCAACUCAGAGCACAGGCAAGGAUGUGCGGAAGGUUAUUGAUGAGCCCAGAGCAGCUUUCACCUUCUUUUUUUUUGUCAGUUAUAUAUGCCUGGCUCUGGCUGCGCAGUGCCUUUCUGUUUGAACCAGUAACACGACCUGACAGCAAGGCAUUCCCAUCUAAACAGUUGGGUCCAUGUCUAUCUGCCAGCUGUUUCUGCACUGAGAUAAACCAUGCCAGCUCGAUCUUUGCAGUGCAGCAGAGAAUGGGAAUAGGUCCUUCUGCUACAGCCCAGACUGCUCCAAUGGGCUCCACUGAAGACCAUGGGAACCCAUGGGUUUGCCCAGCACCUCAUCCAUGCAAUUGCUUGCUUCUUAGCAGCUCCAGUCCCCUCCUGGCCUCUGCCAGCUCUGCUCCAGCCCACACUCGUACCAAGGGGCACUGAGUGAUGAGAUUUCAUCAAGGACUCUUCCUGUGGGAUGGCCAAUGUCAAUCCUUCGUUGAUUCCCAUGGUGAGGAGGAUGGUCAGUGUCAGUCCUUAAUUGACUCCCAUGAUGAAGAUGAUGGCCAAUAUUAAUCCUUGAUUGAUUCCGAUGGUGAGGAGGAUGUCCAGUGUCAACCCUCGGUUGAUUCCCACAGUGAGGAAGAUGGUCAUUGUCAAUCCUUGGUUGACUCCCACAGUGGGGAUGAUGGCCAGUGUAAAUUCUUGGUUGACUUCCACAAUGAGGAGGAUGGUCAAUGUCAAUCCUUGGUUGAUUCCCACAGUGAGGAAGCUGUACAUAGAACACCAGAGGGAGAUUUACACUUUCCAUAAGUUGUCAAUCCUGACUCCUGGACCCCAGGAAAGCACAUUUGGAAGAGCAGGCAAGAAAGAUGUCCAAUCUUGGUGCUAGAUAUCUGCGCUUCAUACCAUAGCAUCUCUGCACUCAUCAGUGCGGGGCUGUGGAGAGAUGAGGGCACCUGUCACACACAAGGGUGGAAUAUGGGAAUUUGUGUCCUAUAACGAUGCUCUGACAAAGCUGAGUUACUAGGUCAAGAAAAAAAAUAAGGUGGUGUAGCAAGGAUGUGUUUUGGGUAAGCAGAAAGCGUCAGCUGCAUCAUCCUAACCUGACUGAAUGAUGGAGAAUUACAAGCUAGCAGCAACGCAGUUAAUGCAGGCAUUAAGGACGUUACAGAAGGGGUAGCUCUAAGUAAAUCUUUCAUGUAAUUAACGGUACAGUUCUGCAAAUUAGUGGAAAUUACAUAUUGAAAUGCUUGGACGCCAGCCACAGUGGAGGGAACGCGCUGACUUCUGUCUGAUCUCAGAGCCUGGCUGCCUUUUAUCUGCCAAAUACUUGAAUAGAAAACUACCUGGAAACCCAGCCAGUGUUUGGCGCAACAUGAGAACUGAGCAGAAGGCCACGGAAACAAAAGUGAGUGCAGGGACCGCACUCGAAGCCAUUCUUGUGGCUGAAUUCCCAUGGGAGAACAAAACCAAACAAAGAACGGAGCCCAAAAACCACAGACUGUAAUGCAGUGAUAUCACAGGUUAGAAUCUUUCCAUCCUCUCCUUUGCUUCAAUCCUGGCUCCUUAAACACGAGGAACUGUGCACGGGAAAGCACACAAGGAAUGAGUCACACUCAAAUAUUUGGAUGUUUACGUCUCUAUC
ensembl:lncRNA